ACCUGUGGGUAGAAUAUACCCACUUCACGUCUCCUCUCUGCUGAGAGCUGUUCUGUUCACUCAAUACUCUUCUCUGCCUUUCUCACCCUCCAGGUGUCUGUGUAACCUUAUUCUUCCUGAAUGCAGGACAAGAACUCGGGACCCAGUACAAGAUGGGGUUUCGUCAUAUUGGCCAGGCUUGUCUCGAACUCCUAACCUCGUGAUCCGCCCACCUCGGCCUCCCAAAGUGCAGGAAUUACAGUUGUGAGCCACCGCGCCCAGCAUAUUUGUGGACAUAGACAGUCUUCUAAAAUUUAUCAAGAAUGGCACAGAGCCUAGAAUUUAAGGGGGAAAAAAAGAGAAAAUAUUGACACGGAAGAUGGAUUGGUAGCAGCCACAAAAGUCAAAGAAGUAAAAGAAUCAACAACGAAAGAUGGAGAGAAAAGUGGAACAUAAAGCUAAGAACCACAAAUAUAUUUGCCAUCAUUGAAAGGAUGUACUAAAAUAAAUCAUUCCUAAACAAACAAAGGCAAAUGAGGAA